UGGCCANUUAGUGCGAUUUUCAUGCCAGC
rnacentral:piRNA from 1 species